rnacentral:rRNA from 1 species
GUAGGUCCCGAGCGUUGUCCGGAUUUAUUGGGCGUAAAGCGAGCGCAGGCGGUUUGAUAAGUCAGAAGUAAAAGGCUGUGGCUCAACCAUAGUACGCUUUUGAAACUGUCAAACUUGAGUGCAGAAGGGGGGAGUGGAAUUCCAUGUGUAGCGGUGAAAUGCGUAGAUAUAUGGAGGAACACCGGUGGCGAAAGCGGCUCUCUGGUCUGUAACUGACGCUGAGGCUCGAAAGCGUGGGUAGCGAA